rnacentral:tRNA from 1 species
GGCUCGGUAGCUCAGUUGGUAGAGCAAUGGAUUGAAGUUCCAUGUGUCGGCGGUUCGAUUCCGUCUCGCGCCA